UACGGAGGGUGCAAGCGUUAUCCGGAUUCACUGGGUUUAAAGGGUGCGUAGGUGGGUUGGUAAGUCAGUGGUGAAAUCCCCGAGCUUAACUUGGGAACUGCCAUUGAUACUAUCAAUCUUGAAUACCGUGGAGGUCAGCGGAAUAUGUCAUGUAGCGGUGAAAUGCUUAGAUAUGACAUAGAACACCAAUUGCGAAGGCAGCUGGCUACACGAAUAUUGACACUGAGGCACGAAAGCGUGGGGAUCAAACAGG
rnacentral:rRNA from 1 species